CCCAGAGGCGCCCGGAUUUCCCACGGGUUUCCCCAUCUGCUGCAAAUAGUAACAAAGGCUGGCACUUUCAGAGCGCUCACUGAGUGUUAGGCACUUUGCUGGCAUCGUGUCUUGUUACCUCCAUCAGGGAUCUGAAGCAGGCGCCACUAUUACCUCCAUUAAGAGACAUGGAAUCUGAGGUUAAGAGAUGCCCAGCGACUUGCUCAAGGUCACACAGCUACUGAAUGGUCCUCUGCAAAAUGAGUGUAUUUUAACAUCAACUAACCUUCCUGUGAGGGUAGUUGGUAGCAACAAUGAGUGACCACCGUGGGUAAAGUCUUCCCAAGCACAAUUGUGUGAUGGCACUCAGCGGGCAGCCCAGCUCUACAGGCAAACGUCAUUCUUCGUGAUUCUGUUUGAGGAGAUGCAGAAACUGAGGCUCUCAGAGAGGGGCAGAAGCUCACGAAGCUCUGGCAAGUAGCCAAAGUGACACUGAAGCCCAGAUGUUUGACUCCCUGAGGAUUCAUCUAACAGCGUGGGAGGCUGUACCAGGGACUGACCCGUGUAACCGACAGGAUAUUGCAGAAAUGAUAGUGUGAUUUCUGAGACUACUUCAUAAAGGACACUGCAGCUUCUGCACUUGCUCUAGGCUAGUGGAAGCCAGCUGCCAUGUUGUAAGCACACUCAAGCAACCCUAUGGAGGAUUAUAGGUGGUGAGGAACUGAGGCUUCCUGCCAUCAGCCAGAACCAAUGUUGCAGUGCCAUUCAAGCCAUCAGGUGACCACAGCUCCAUUCUGACAUCCUGACUGCAACCUUAUGAGAGAGCUUAAGCCAGAAUCACCUAGGAAAUUACUCCUGAAUUCCUGACGCACAGAAAGUGUGAGGUAAGAAAAGCUUAUUGUUGUUAUAAGCCACUGAGUUUUGAGGUAAUUUGCUACAUAACAAUAGAGGAAAAAAAACAAAAUAGAAGGAGCCUUGACCCUCUGAAAUUGUGGAGGGCCAUAGCAGCCCUUACAUUUACAUCAGACUUUUUUUUUUUUUUUUUUUUACAUCAGACUCUUUUUUAAGAGACAUAAACUUCUCUUAUUUUCACAACUAUUAUUUUGAGUUUUCUGUCAUUCCUAUUCCUAGUCUUAUUUUGGAACUACUCAUUCAGAAACUCUUUUAAGAAUUGCUAGCUGAAAAAAAAAAAAAAAAGAAUUGCUAGCUGGAAGUGCCUUUGGAGGCCAUCCCCGUCAUUCCUGCUGCCAGGGGUGUGUUGAGGCCUAAAUCUCCCCAAGAUGAUGGGUAGUUAAUGUCUAAAAAUGUCUGUAAAAGGGAUUUUAUAAUGAGGACCACUGGCCAAGGAUCAGGAGAACUUGGCUCCACUCCCUUCUGAGUGCUAUCAUUUAUUUAACACUUUGGUGACCUUACCUGGCACAGAGGGACACUGUCUUUAAUAUGGGAUGUCCACGAGGCUCAAACAGACGUGUAAAUAAGCAAUUUGGAGAGUGCCAAGCUUCUCUACCAACUGAAGAAAGCACUCUUGCUGUGGGUCUGGCUGUUUCUGUUGCUGGAUGGAGUUAGCCUGCCUCAGCAUUUACAGGUGUUCCUUUUCAUGGACCAGCUUUCAGGUGUGCAUCUCUGUGGCCUAAUGAACAAAUCCUCACCAAUGAUGAGACACCCUGCUCAGAUCCAUUCAGCCAUGGCAGCUGACAGGGCUUAGUGAUGGCAGUCCUGAUGGUUAGUCUAGUUUUUAACUAAAGCACUUCUUCCCAUUGCCCUGGUUGCAAGACAGUGGCCAGACCUCUGACACUCUCUCUCCACCCCAUGUCCUGCUUUGUCACAGACCACAAUUUCCAAGUGGAUUAACCAUCCAACAUGAUUCCUGACCCCCAGCAUCACAGUUCCCGGACCUGCUUAAUGUUCCUUACCUUUUCCCAUUGGCUCUUGCCACACUGCAGGAUAGCCCCUCUCUGAAAUGUUAGCCUCCUGAAUUCUACCAGAGGCCUUGACCUCCUGCUUUCUAGAUAUUUCCAGUCUGCUCUCUACUCCUGCUCUUGCACUUCAACAAAGACUUUCUGUCCCGAGAGGCUUCAAUCGAUUCUCCAGUCUGGCCGCAUCAGCAUCAUCUGAAGAACCAACAAUUUUCUUAAACCCUGUAUUAGUCAGGAUAAUGCUAGAUGCUAUAACAAACAAAUCCCCAAAUGUAUAUUGGCUCAGACAAUAUAGCUGAUUUCUUGUUCACAAACAACUCACGUGGGUGUUCCUGAUCAGUGGUGUGUGUCCUCCAAGUGAUGAUUUAGGGACCGGGAUCCUUCCACCUUGUGGCUCUGCCAUCUCCAACAUGUGGUUUCCAAGGGGGCCUUAAACUAGAAGAGGAAAAGAAGGGUGGAGAAGGCACAUCUGCUUCUUAACUAUUUGGGGCUGGAAAAUACAUGUCAUCCCUGAUCAGCAUUCCAUUGGCAAGAACGUGUCACUUGACUCCUCUCAGAUGUAACAGAUGUGAGAGGAGGGGUAUAUGCUGGGAAAUGUAGCCUCUGCUGGGACGCCCCUUCCUAGCCUCAACUCUGUUCUAUGGCAGGGCAAGGGAUACACUUUUUUUUUUUGGUGAACAGUUAGCUGUCUCUGCUACACACUCAAAAGGAACCUUCUGCCACAAUUGUCUUGUAAGACUGCAGCCCAAGUACUACAGGCCGACCAACCUUCCUGCCUUCUAGGUCCUGGAGAAGACCCUGAGGAGGACAGGUCAGUGCUAAUGCAGAUUUAUGGCCUCCAAAGCCACCGGGGCCCCUGUAUUGUUAGGCCUAGGUCAGAUUCUCUGGUAUUCGCCCUAACGGGUGUUCCAAGCAUCCUCUCCUUGCCCUUAGCCCCUUCCCCACCCUCAUUCUCAGCAGGUGAGAAUUUUAGGGCCGAAGGGCAUGAUGCCCCUCCACUUCUUCCCCUGCCCUCUCCUCCCCAACCACACUCAUGUAAAUUUGUCUGUGCCCACAUUCCCUCCAGCUUCACAGCCUGAACUGCUCCCUAGAUUUCAGACCUGUGUGUCCAUCUGCCUCAGAACGCUUCCACCUGCAUGUGCAUAGGUCCUUCAUACUCACCAUGUCUCAAACUGAACUCACCAUUGUCCAGCCCAUCCCCCUCCCCCAAACCUGCUUCUCCUCCUGGGGUUUCUUUCUCCUGUGAUGGCGACACCCUAACCACAUGGUUGUCCUUGCUUAAAAUCUGACGGUCAUCAUUGUCUCAUUUCUCAGGUUAAAUCCUGGCCAAAACAUUUCUUGAAUCAGUUCCCUCCACUUGUUUUACUAAGUUCAGGUCAUCACUUCCUGCUCAGAUGCCUGUAGCCACCUCCUAACAGGUCUUUAUGCCUCUAGUCUGUUCCCCUCCAACCACUCUUCAUGGGCAGCCAGAGUGACAGUUCUACAGUACAGAACUGGCCACAGCACUCAGUUUCUUGAGUGAAGUAUGGACUUUCUCCUGAGGCCCCCGAGUCCCCACAUGACUGGCCCCACUGCAGCCAGCCCCUUACUUUCCAUGGCACUCCAGCAACACUAGACUUUCCUCUGGCCAUGCCCUGAGGAUCCUUGAUGCCACACUGGGGCCAUGGGUGAGUGCUGCUAGAAUAUCCUUUGUUUUCCUCUCUCUGUUCUUAUCACACUCCUUGGUAAAGCUCUUUUUGUAUGUCUGCUUCCCAACACUGCAAGGGCAGGAGCUAACUCUUUGUCUCAUGAUUUCAGUGUCUGGGACAGUGCUCAUCAUACAGUAGGUGCUCAGUACAUGCUCAGUGAAUGAAUGAAGAUGGUGGAAAGGAACCCGUUGAAGGAAGCCUGGCAACCAGGCACACCGCAGGCUGAAGACUCAAGAACUCUUCUGAAGAAACCGAGCAGACUCAAGGGGAAGGCCUACAGAUACAGACAUGAUCCCGUUACAGACGCCCAAUAGAAGAGCCAGCUCACCCUCUACGGGGCAAUCCACUGGUAGACAAGGUCUACCCAAGCAUGCUGACCAUCCAGUCAUCUCUUCAGCACAUGACUCUUAAAUAUGAUCUGAGAGCCAAGAUCCCCAGACAUUUAAGGAAAGCCUCAGGCAUGAGAGAUAGGUGUUGGGGAGGGAGAAAGAAUGCAUAAGUUUAGAGAGGAGGAGAAAGCUUUACAAAUGCUAUGAAAUCUUCAGGGAAAGAAAAGAUUUCUCUCUCAAGGUUCAUUUUCAUGAAAUGUCAGAACACCAGGGAUAAAGAAAAGACCCCAAAAGGACUCAGAAAGGAAAUACAGGUCAAUUGAGAGGAUCAGGAAAAGAUCAGAAAGACCAGACUUCUCAGCAGCAACACUGGAAGCUGGAAGAUAAUGGAGUCAGGACUUCAGAAUUCUGAGUGAGAAUUAUUUAUAGCUUAGAAAUCCAAACCUAAACCAUUAAGAGAAAGGGUAGAAUAAAAGACACUUGAAGACAUGGGAGAUCACAAGUAAUUUGCCUCUCAUGCUCCCUUUCUCAGGAAGCUCUCCACCCAAAUAAGAGAACAAUCCAAGAAUGAGGAAGACAUACCCAGGAGAGGGCAUAGGGAUUCCCAGGAUGAUGGUAAAGGAGACCUGGAUGCCAGGGGGGCAGUAGGCCUAGGGAUGUCCCCCUUUGAGCCAGAGAAUAGAGGACUCAGGAUAGAGAUGGGCCAGAUGGAUUACCUAACAGGUGUGACUAGGUGGAAGAUUAUGUUGAGGGGCUAUUAGAUGGUUGUGAGAAUUAGUUGUGAGAAUAAGUUUGUGAGAAAAAGUUUACCAAAAACUGAGUCAAUAAAAAAUCUGAGGCAAUUGCUACCUACAGAAAACCCCACAACACAAACACUGUAAAAGAAGAUAAAGGCAACACACAAAAAUUUACAGAGCCAUAAUAAUGUUAACACAGAUUAUUGAUUUAACCAAAGGCUGUGAUACAGUGAUGGGAAGCUGGAGGAAAGGGAAGGAGGAUGUAGGUGGAAGAAGGAAAAGAAACCAAUCCUCAUCUCCCAUGAUUGCAAGAAAAUGGGUAAUGUUUAAAAUUGACAAAUCAACAAAAGAACACUAUAAAUAUAUGAUUUAGAAAGAUGGGAGAGGAGGUUAAAACUGGGAGAAACAGCUGAAAGCGUUUAACUGGGUACCUCUGAGCAUCAAACA